rnacentral:rRNA from 1 species
UACGAAGGGGGCUAGCGUUGCUCGGAAUUACUGGGCGUAAAGCGCACGUAGGCGGCUUUUUAAGUCAGGGGUGAAAUCCUGGAGCUCAACUCCAGAACUGCCUUUGAUACUGAGAAGCUUGAGUCCGGGAGAGGUGAGUGGAACUGCGAGUGUAGAGGUGAAAUUCGUAGAUAUUCGCAAGAACACCAGUGGCGAAGGCGGCUCACUGGCCCGGUACUGACGCUGAGGUGCGAAAGCGUGGGGGAGCAAACGGG